CGGCUCCUACGGGGCGCAGCAGUCGGGAAUAUUGCGCAAUGGAGGAAACUCUGACGCAGUGACGCCGCGUAUAGGAAGAAGGUUUUCGGAUUGUAAACUAUUGUCGUGAGGGAAGAAAUUGACAGUACCUCAGGAGGAAGCUCCGGCUAACUAUGUGCCAGCAGCCGCGGUAAUACGUAGGGGGCAAGCGUUAUCCGGAUUUACUGGGUGUAAAGGGGGCGCAGACGGCGAUGCAAGCCAGGAGUGAAAGCCCGGGGCCCAACCCCGGGACUGCUCUUGGAACGGCGUGGCUGGAG
rnacentral:rRNA from 1 species